rnacentral:rRNA from 1 species
GAUGAACGCUGGCGGCGUGCCUAAUACAUGCAAGUCGAGCGAACAGACGAGGAGCUUGCUCCUCUGACGUUAGCGGCGGACGGGUGAGUAACACGUGGAUAACCUACCUAUAAGACUGGGAUAACUUCGGGAAACCGGAGCUAAUACCGGAUAAUAUAUUGAACCGCAUGGUUCAAUAGUGAAAGACGGUUUUGCUGUCACUUAUAGAUGGAUCCGCGCCGCAUUAGCUGGUUGGUAAGGUAACGGCUUACCAAGGCAACGAUGCGUAGCCGACCUGAGAGGGUGAUGGGCCACACUGGACCUGAGCCAGGUUCCAGACCCCUACGGGAGGCACCGUUAGGAAAUCUUCCGCAAUGGGCGAAAGCCUGACGGGGCAACGCCGCGUGAGUAAUGAAGGUCUUCGGGUCGUAAACCUCUGUUUUUAGGGAAGAACAAAUGUGUAAGUAACUAUGCACGUCUUGACGGUACCUAAUAAGAAAGCCAGGCCUAACUACGU